rnacentral:lncRNA from 1 species
AAAAAGAGCUGUCUUUAAUUUAGUUUAUGUUUCCCACUCCAUUGCAGUUACCUUGAGGCACUUGAUAACAAUUCUGACAUUGAUCGGAAUGAAACGUUAGGACAUUUUAUUCAGUUUUCAAUAUGUGCAUCAAUUUGGUUCUGCCCCUCAAAAAGAGUAAUGAGCUUUUUUUGCUUACUCCAUUCUUUCAUUUUGUCGCAACCAUCAUUUCUAUAUGAACGAAUGAAGAAGGUCCGGUUUGGUUCUACCAUUUUAAAUCCCUAUAUUUUCUCAUGUCUAUUUAUGCAUUCAUGUGAGUGAUUUCUAUCCAACUUCUUUUACUAGAAAUGAUGAAGAUGGUCUCCAUUAGGUUGAUUAACUUUUGUCUUGUUUUCAAACUGCUGACUUGUUUAAGAACAUAUGUUUCAUAAUUUAUAUUAUUUUUAUAGUGGUGUUUAAUUAAGAGAAAAAAUACUUCUAUCAGGCUAUAUUUUAUUUUUACCACCAUGCAGUUAGGAACUACUCAUGAUUCUAACUGUAAAAGAAAGAGCAUAUGCAGGUUGUACUAUAGAUUGCGCGGAUGGUUCCAAAGACGUAUAUGAUGGAUGCGUAAUGGCUGCCCAUGUUUGUGCUAAUAGUAAAUGGUUUGUCAGCUAAAGUUUUUCUUCUCACAAUCUGAUAUAUAGUUUUAAUUUUUUCUAGACGUGGAAUGGGAUUGGUCUGGCUAAUGAAAAAAACUUGUUACGACUAUAAGGUACCAACUUGGCAAGUUUUCUUUAGAUACCAUUGAAACAGAAUAAAGGUUAAUAGUGUGGUUAUUCUGGUGUUUUGCAGUAUUUAUAGAUCUCCUAUUCUUAUUUUUUGCUUUAUGCACUACAAAUAUUCUUUUAUGCUUUUGUAAGAAAUACUUACACUUGGAAUGCAUUAAGAAUGAUUUCAUUAGUGAAGGCUUAUGACAAAUCAAUGAAAAAUAAAUACUUCUUCCUUUCGAAAACUGAAUAUCGCAUUGCUAUAAGAUCUGCUCUACAGAACGACUUUGCUGAAGGUGUCCGAGCAGUCUUAGUGGACAGGGAUCAGGUUUGUUUCUUGCGUUGCAAGCCCAUGAUACUAUAACUUCAUAAAUGUUGGGUUUGUGGUUUCUUAGUGCAUUUUCUGGUAAGGAUUUUUGAUUGAGCUUAGUUGAGGCGUGGUUUCAUUUUCUUAAAGAUUGAAUAAAUUUCCUGGUUUAUUUAUUCUUUUUUUCGCAAUACAGCUUCAUUUGUCCUGUUAGACCCACCAUAGUGUAUUGUCGAUUGAGUCGACUUACAACUUGCAGGAAACUAAAACCUUUGAUGAUUUUGUUUCGAGAGUCCAAAAUGGAAUCCGUUUUGCUUGGAGGAAGAAGUUGGAGAAUUGAAUGUCUGAGUAUGCCUGGAUAUCCUGCACUUUUCCAGCAGUUAUGAUUAAUAAAUACUCGUCUUUUGAUCAAUCAGAAUACAUGUUCAUGUGUGUAAUCCCAAAUGACGCCUCUUCAGAUGUUGGCAUUAUCUGUAAAAUGUGAUUUAUGAGGAAAUAAAGUGCAAUUGG